GAUCAACGCUGGCGGCGUGCUUAACACAUGCAAGUCGAACGAAGUUUUUCUUUCGGGAGGAACUUAGUGGCGGACGGGUGCGUAACGCGUGGGUAACCUGCCCUGUACAGGGGGACAACAGCUGGAAACGGCUGCUAAUACCGCAUAAGCCCUUAGCACUGCAUGGUGCAUAGGGAAAAGGAGCAAUCCGGUACAGGAUGGACCCGCGUCUGAUUAGCCAGUUGGCAGGGUAACGGCCUACCAAAGCGACGAUCAGUAGCCGAUCUGAGAGGAUGUACGGCCACAUUGGGACUGAGACACGGCCCAGACUCCUACGGGAGGCAGCAGUGGGGAAUAUUGCACAAUGGAGGAAACUCUGAUGCAGCGACGCCGCGUGAGUGAAGAAGUAUUUCGGUAUGUAAAGCUCUAUCAGCAGGAAAGAAAAUGACGGUACCUGACUAAGAAGCACCGGCUAAAUACGUG
rnacentral:rRNA from 1 species